rnacentral:rRNA from 1 species
AUUGAACGCUGGCGGCAGGCCUAACACAUGCAAGUCGAGCGAGCGGCGGACGGGUGUGUAAUGUCUGGGAAACUGCCUGAUGGAGGGGGAUAACUACUGGAAACGGUAGCUAAUACCGCAUACCAUCAGAUGUGCCCAGAUGGGAUUAGCUAGUAGGUGGGGUAACGACUCACCUCGGCGACGAUCCGUAGUUGGUCUGGGAGGAUGACCAGACACACUGGAAUUGAGACACGGUCCAGACUCCAACGGGAGGCAAGGGUGGGGAAGAUUGCACAAUGGGAGGAAGCCUGAUGCAGCCAUGCCGCGUGUGGGAAGAAGGCCUGGGGGUUGUAAAGCACUUUCAGCGGGGAGGCGUUACCCGCAGAAGAAGCACCGGCUAACUCCGUGCCAGCAGCCGCGGUAAUAC